CAUUGGCAUCACCUUUAUUCUCUUGUGGCUGACCAUCUUCCAUGUUAGUUGUCAACUUUAAGAACUGCUCUUGUGAGGAACUAUUGUCCUGUUCGUUGCUCUCUGCUGCAGUGGUCUUGUAGGAAUUUUGUUCUUCUGCUGUAGCAGGUACAGAACCAUUGGUGUUUUCAGAUUUGUCAGAUACCACAGCGUCAGAAGUUGCAUUUUCAUUGUUUGCACCCGCUACAAUGCUCUCAUCCUGCUGGCUGCUCUCUGAUGCAUUAGUGAUACUGGAAUUUUCUUCUUCUGCUGGAGCAGGCAUGGAGUCACCAGAGUUUUCAGGUUUCUCAAGUGCCACUGUGUCUGAAGUUGCAUUUUCGUUGUUUGCUCCCACAACAUUGCUCUCAUCCUGGUGGUCACUCUCUGAUGCAGUAGUGUUGUUGGAGCUAUCUUCUGUUGUAGCAGGUAUGGAAUCACUAGAAUUUUCAGAUUUAUCAGGCUCGGCUUCUUUUUGCUGCAAAAGUUCUUUUAUACUUGUUGUCUGAUCAGGGUUUGAAGCAGCUGUAUUCUCUUUCAUUUGGUUGAUAUGGCUCUCUUUCUCCACAAGAGCUGCUUCUAGUUCUUUCUGGGUGUUGGUAAGAUAUGUGGUGGUAGUUUCUGAAUCCAUGAGCUUGUUUUUCAAUUCUGCCCUUUCAAUGCUUAGGACAGAUGUUUUGGCUUCCAGUUCGUCCACUUUCCUUCUCAUCUCUUUAUUAAUUUCCUUUUCUUUCUGUCAAAAAGGAGAUAGCAUUAUUUAGCUGAUGAGAAUUCUUGAAUGGUAGGCUGGAUAAAUAACUCAUAGAAGUACAGAACACACUAUCAGAAAACGCCGGUAGAAGGCUCUAAAUGUGCUACAGCCAUGGCAGACCUUCAUCUCAGUAUUAUUAUUUUCAGAGUAAGAGGGUGUUCAAUUGAACAUAUCGAUGUAUUUGGCUACUUGCGUUUUGAAAGUAAAUUGUGAUGUGAAGCCUCCAGCUAAAGUAUGUCUGCAAAAUGGUAUCAAUAUGGAAAGUCUUCUCAGGGGCUGAAGUAUAUGGACUAACUUAUGAAGAGGCACGGUUCUAGAUUGGACAGUAUCCUCAUGGUUUGGGUUUGCAAAGAUUUUGCGAGUGCAAUACUGUAGUUUUUGUUGUAUUCAUACUUCUACAGAUCCUGUUUAAAUUUUUUUCUUCUCCCGUGAAAAUUGCAAUGUUCCCAUUGCAACUCCUGCAGAAUUUGUGUCUACAUACACCCUAAAUUGGUAGUAUUAUGGCUCGGCCAUGACAAUACCUAAUGCAGAUAGAAUUAUACUUUGCAUGAGAUUGUACUAUUUCUAGUAUUUUACCUACUAGGCUACUGCACCCUCCGUCCCAAAUUAUACGUUGUUUGGACUUUUCUA
rnacentral:lncRNA from 1 species